GAAGGGGGCUAGCGUUACUCGGAAUUACUGGGGCGUAAAGGGGCGCGUAGGCGGCACCGUCAGUCAGGCGUGAAAUUCCUGGGGCUCAACCUGGGGGACUGCGCUUGAUACGGCGGAGCUAGAGGAUGGAAGAGGCUCGUGGAAUUCCCAGUGUAGAGGUGAAAUUCGUAGAUAUUGGGAAGAACACCGGUGGCGAAGGCGGCGAGCUGGUCCAUUACUGACGCUGAGGCGCGACAGCGUGGGGAGCAAACAGGAUUAGAUACCCUGGUAGUCCACGCCGUAAACGAUGUGCGCCGGAUGUUGGGUGACCUAGUCACUCAGUGUCGUAGCUAACGCGAUAAGCGCACCGCCUGGGGAGUACGGCCGCAAAGGUUGA
rnacentral:rRNA from 1 species